rnacentral:rRNA from 1 species
CUGCUGCCUCCCGUAGGAGUCUGGGCCGUGUCUCAGUCCCAAUGUGGCCCGUUUCACCCUCUCAGGCCGGCUACUGAUCGUCGCCUUGGUGGGCCGUUACCCCGCCAACAAGCUAAUCAGACGCGGAACCAUCGUAUACCACCGGAGUUUUUCACACUGUCCCAUGCGGGUCUGUGCGCUUAUGCGGUAUUAGCACCUAUUUCUAAGUGUUAUCCCCCAGUAUACGGCAGGUUUUCCACGCGUUACUCACCCGUCCGCCACUAA